rnacentral:rRNA from 1 species
GAUGAACGCUGGCGGCGUGCUUAACACAUGCAAGUCGAACGAUGAAGCCCAGCUUGCUGGGUGGAUUCGUGGCGAACGGGUGAGUAACACGUGAGUAACCUGCCCUUAACUCUGGGAUAAGCCUGGGAAACUGGGUCUAAUACCGGAUAGGAGCGUCCACCGCAUGGUGGGUGUUGGAAAGAUUUAUCGGUUUUGGAUGGACUCGCGGCCUAUCAGCUUGUUGGUGGGGUAAUGGCUCACCAAGGCGACGACGGGUAGCCGGCCUGAGAGGGUGACCGGCCACACUGGGACUGAGACACGGCCCAGACUCCUACGGGAGGCAGCAGUGGGGAAUAUUGCACAAUGGGCGGAAGCCUGAUGCAGCGACGCCGCGUGAGGGAUGACGGCCUUCGGGUUGUAAACCGCUUUCAGUAGGGAAGAAGCGAAAGUGACGGUACCUGCAGAAGAAGCACCGGCUAACUACGUG